rnacentral:rRNA from 1 species
AGCAGCCGCGGUAAUUCCAGCUCCAAUAGCGUAUAUUAAAGUUGUUGCAGUUAAAAAGCUCGUAGUUGAAUUUCGGGGUUAGUAGGCUGGUCAUGCCACCGGUAUGUACUGGUCUUUCUGAUUCCUCCUUCCUGAUGAACUGUAAUGCCAUUAAUUUGGUGUUGCAGGGAAUCUGGACUGUUACUUUGAAAAAUUAGAGUGUUUAAAGCAGGCUAACGCUUGAAUACAUUAGCAUGGAAUAAUGAAAUAGGACGUUCGAUCCUAUUUUGUUGGUUUCUAGGAUUGACGUAAUGAUUAAUAGGGAUAGUUGGGGGCAUUAGUAUUCAAUUGUCAGAGGUGAAAUUCUUGGAUUUAUUGAAGACUAACUACUGCGAAAGCAUUUGCCAAGGAUGUUUUCAUUAAUCAAGAACGAAAGUUAGGGGAUCGAAGACGAUCAGAUACCGUCGUAGU